GACGAACCGUGCGAACGUUGUUCGGAAUCACUGGGCUUAAAGGGCGCGUAGGCGGGCGGACAAGUUCGGGGUGAAAUCUUUCGGCUCAACCGGAAGACGGCCCCGGAUACUGUUUGUCUCGAGGGGGGUAGGGGCAGUUGGAACUUCCGGUGGAGCGGUGAAAUGCGUUGAUAUGCGGAGGAACACCGAUGGCGAAGGCAAUCCCCUGGGCCUGCACUGACGCUCAUGCACGAAAGCGUGGGGAGCAAACAGG
rnacentral:rRNA from 1 species